rnacentral:miRNA from 1 species
UCUGCUCUUGGUUUGGAUUGAUCUCACUAUGAAGCAGUGAGAUCAAUCCAAACCAAGAGCAGA